rnacentral:rRNA from 1 species
UACGAAGGGUGCAAGCGUUACUCGGAAUUACUGGGCGUAAAGCGUGCGUAGGUGGUUUGUUAAGUCUGAUGUGAAAGCCCUGGGCUCAACCUGGGAACGGCAUUGGAAACUGGCUUACUAGAGUGCGGUAGAGGGGUGUGGAAUUCCCGGUGUAGCAGUGAAAUGCGUAGAUAUCGGGAGGAACACCAGCGGCGAAGGCGGCGAACUGGAUAAGUACUGACACUCAACUGCGAAAGCGUGGGGAGCAAACAGG